rnacentral:rRNA from 1 species
UGAGGAACAUGACCUUCGGCGGGGAUAGCCGGCCCAACGGCCGGGUAAUACCGCGUACGACCACAUGGGGACAUCCCUGAGUGGUGAAAGCAGCAAUGCGCCGAUGGAGUGCCUCGCGGCCUAUCAGCUAGUUGGUGAGGUAACGGCUCACCAAGGCGACGACGGGUAGCUGGUCUGAGAGGAUGGCCAGCCACAUUGGGACUGAGACACGGCCCAGACCUGUACGGGAG